AGUGAACGCUGGCGGUAGGCCUAACACAUGCAAGUCGAACGGCAGCACAGUAAGAGCUUGCUCUUACGGGUGGCGAGUGGCGGACGGGUGAGGAAUACAUCGGAAUCUACUUUUUCGUGGGGGAUAACGUAGGGAAACUUACGCUAAUAUCGCAUACGACCUACGGGUGAAAGCAGGGGAUCUUCGGAACUUGCGCGAUUGAAUGAGCCGAUGUCGGAUUAGCUAGUUGGCGGGGUAAAGGCCCACCAAGGCGACGAUCCGUAGCUGGUCUGAGAGGAUGAUCAGCCACACUGGAACUGAGACACGGUCCAGACUCCUACGGGAGGCAGCAGUGGGGAAUAUUGGACAAUGGGCGCAAGCCUGAUCCAGCCAUACCGCGUGGGUGAAGAAGGCCUUCGGGUUGUAAAGCCCUUUUGUUGGGAAAGAAAAGCAGCAGGUUAAUACCCCGCUGUUCUGACGGUACCCAAAGAAUAAGCACUGGCUAACUUCGUG
rnacentral:rRNA from 1 species